UACAGAGGUCUCAAGCGUUGUUCGGAUUCACUGGGCGUAAAGGGUGCGUAGGUGGCCGGGUAAGUUUGAUGUGAAAUCUCCGAGCUUAACUCGGAAAUUGCAUUGAAUACUAUCCGGCUAGAGGAUUGGAGGGGAAACUGGAAUUCUCGGUGUAGCAGUGAAAUGCGUAGAUAUCGAGAGGAACACCAGUGGCGAAGGCGAGUUUCUGGACAAUUCCUGACACUGAGGCACGAAAGCUAGGGGAGCAAACAGG
rnacentral:rRNA from 1 species